rnacentral:lncRNA from 1 species
AAAGACUUGAUGGAAUAAUUCACAAGAACAAAAUAUUAAUACAAGAUGGUAUGCCUUACUCUGAAAGGAGCAGAAAGAACCAUGGGACAAGAGGUGUGCUUUUAAUUAGAACUGAAUGUAUUUGCUCUGAGAUCUAAAAUAUAGAAGGAAACAUAACCUCUAAAAAACUGGUGAAUGAUAAGGAAAAAACAAAACAAAACAGUUCUAUGGUGUGAGUAUGUGAUAGACCAAAUAUCUAGUUUAUCAUUUAGAAAGGGCUUUUUUAAACUCUAGCAGUAUCACCUAAAGAAUAGGCAUUGGAGAUGGGAGAAUUUCACCCACUGGAGAGAGACUGCAAUUACCCAGAUAUCUGUGGAGAAAGGAAUUCAUGAAGACAGAAACUCUCUGAAGAAUUUGGGAUGUUUGGUGCUGUUUUGAUAUUAAAAAUGAAGAAAACUAUAGAAGAGAUGAGCGUAGAUACUAAUCAGUGGAGAAUACUUCUGUUUUUUUUCAAGCCCAUUGUCUUUCUCUUGUCUCACCUCUGAUCCUCACAGCCCCAGCUCUCUUUCUUGUGCUGUAGAUAGCUCUGCCCUUGCUUUGAGUAUAAAACCUAGGUGGAGGAGGUUGUUAAGCUGGUUAUGUGGAAUCCUUCCUGGGUGCUCUACGCCCUCCCACCUCACAGUGUUUUUGCUGAAAUGUUGGUGAUUCCACAGAGGCAAGUCUGCUGUUAUACAAUAACCACAGAUGAAGAGACCUCUUGAAAUAAAUCUGUUUCAGAGCAUUUUCUGGAAGGGUCACACAAAAAGAGCUUGAGGAAGAAAAUCAGAAGAUGAAAGAGAAGAUCAAACGACUAGAGACACGAAACAACGAGCUCUUGUCUAAAAUGAUGAGCAUGCACAAGCAAUCAGAGAACAUGAAUGACCCUUCACGCUUGUCUGCUGUAGUGCAAUUGUAUGAGAUGCUUAGGCUACAUGACUGGGAAAAAUUCAAGACAAACUCAACCAACAUGACAUAUAAAAAUGGCAGAAGCAUAAUUAAGAAGCUGUUUGACACCUGUGAGAAAGACAUAGAGAAGAGAAAAAAUGACAUAUUUAAUGUCCUUGACGUUUCAUUUUUGAAUUACGCUAUGGCCAACUGCAAACAAGAGCUGAUGCCAAUUGUAACAGAACUCUUAAGAAAUGCCUAUUUCCAACAGCACUCAGACUUUUACAAAAAAAUUACUAAGCAAGCUAGUGUUACUUUGGAAGAUGACGUUCAAAAACAGUUUGCACUGAAGUGCUGCAGAGUUUAUUGUCUGAUGCUUCUUCAGAAGUCACCAGUUAAAGCUGUCUGGCACAAACAGGAAAUCCAUCCUGAAGAGUUAGAGCAUGUGGACAAGAAAGACUUGUCCACAGUGCACUGGAAGAAAGCAGAGCUUCUGUGGCCUGUACUGAAAUCUGGGAAAGAACUUAUUGCAAAAGGUGUAGUCUGGGAUUAAAAGUGACAUGACUUUUGAGUCAAGAUACACACUUAAAUGGCUAUAAGAAGAUGAAACAGCUGCUGUGCAACAUGUUGCUUUUCUUUCUCACAUGAACACUCUGCUUUCCAUACCUAGUUAAAUGUGCAUGGCUUGGGACGCUUAGGAUAAACUGCUAUUCACAAACUACCGAAAAUGGAAGAUGUCUUGGUGGCAUGCAUACAUUUUAUGUAAUUUUAGUUGUCACUGUCUAAACAGCGCUUGUGUGAAGAGAGAAUCUGUGUUUGUAGCCUACCUUAUCUGUUCUUCAUAGGUGCUUAUGACCUUGUCAGAUAACUCUGGGGAUCUCAGCCACGCUGUGGAGGCACCUGCCUCCUCACCAGCUGUGGGCUCCUACUCUUAGCAGCUCUGAACUGCACUUUGGCAAUGGUAUCGCUACCCUCCCCUGUAUCUACACCCAGUGCACAAACUGCAGGCUCUUGCUUUUUGCUAAUGAAAAAGCAGUGAGGAUAAAGAUGACCUGCUGGGAAAAAGGUCUCUCUCGAGUAAAAAUGUACUUAACUGAGAAAGAGAGCAAGGAACUAAAAAAUAAAUAAACCAGAGCUCUCA